UACGUAGGGGGCGAGCGUUGUCCGGAUUUAUUGGGCGUAAAGAGCGUGUAGGCGGCCAGGUAGGUCUGCUGUGAAAACUCGAGGCUCAACCUCGAGACGUCGGCGGAAACCAUCUGGCUAGAGUCCGGAAGAGGAGAGUGGAAUUCCUGGUGUAGCGGUGAAAUGCGCAGAUAUCAGGAAGAACACCCGUGGCGAGGGCGGCUCUCUGGGACGGUACUGACGCUGAGACGCGAAAGCGUGGGGAGCGAACAGG
rnacentral:rRNA from 1 species